UACGUAGGGUGCGAGCGUUAAUCGGAAUUACUGGGCGUAAAGCGUGCGCAGGCGGUUCGCCAAGUCAGGUGUGAAAUCCCCGGGCUUAACCUGGGAAUUGCGCUUGAAACUAGCGGGCUUGAGUGUGGCAGAGGGGGGUGGAAUUCCACGUGUAGCAGUGAAAUGCGUAGAUAUGUGGAGGAACACCGAUGGCGAAGGCAGCCCCCUGGGUUAACACUGACGCUCAUGCACGAAAGCGUGGGGAGCAAACAGG
rnacentral:rRNA from 1 species